rfam:Parcubacteria bacterium GW2011_GWA1_49_11 TY36_C0003, whole genome shotgun sequence.
GGGGGCAUCAUUCAAUGGUAGGAUAGCGGUCUCCAAAACCGUCAAUCUCCGUUCAAGUCGGAGUGCCCCCG